rnacentral:tRNA from 5 species
GGGGCUAUAGCUCAGCUGGGAGAGCGCCUCGCUGGCAGCGAGGAGGUCUGCGGUUCGAUCCCGCAUAGCUCCA